rnacentral:rRNA from 1 species
CAAUAGCGUAUAUUAAAGUUGUUGCAGUUAAAAAGCUCGUAGUCGAACUUCGGGCCUGGCCGGGCGGUCUGCCUAACGGUAUGUACUGUCUGGCCGGGCCUUACCUCUUGGUGAGCCGGCAUGCCCUUCACUGGGUGUGUCGGUGAACCAGGACUUUUACCUUGAGAAAAUUAGAGUGUUCAAAGCAGGCCUAUGCCCGAAUACAUUAGCAUGGAAUAAUAAAAUAGGACGUGUGGUUCUAUUUUGUUGGUUUCUAGAGUCACCGUAAUGAUUAAUAGGGAUAGUUGGGGGCAUUAGUAUUAACACGUCAGAGGUGGAAUUCUUGGAUUGUGUUACGACAAACUACUGCGAAAGCAUUUGCCAAGGAUGUUUUCAUUGA